UAACACAUGCAAGUCGCACGGUCAGCAAUGGCAGUGGCGGACGGGUGAGUAACACGUAGGAAUCUAUCCUGGGGUGGGGGACAACAGCGGGAAACUGCUGCUAAUACCGCAUGAUACCUGAGGGUCAAAGGCGCAAGUCGCCUUGGGAGGAGCCUGCGUCUGAUUAGCUUGUUGGUGGGGUAAAGGCCUACCAAGGCGACGAUCAGUAGCUGGUCUGAGAGGAUGAUCAGCCACAUUGGGACUGAGACACGGCCCAAACUCCUACGGGAGGCAGCAGUGGGGAAUAUUGGACAAUGGGGGAAACCCUGAUCCAGCAAUGCCGCGUGUGUGAAGAAGGUCUUCGGAUUGUAAAGCACUUUUGGCAGGGACGAUGAUGACGGUACCUGCAGAAUAAGCCCCGGCUAACUUCGUGCCAGCAGCCGCGGUAAUACGAAGGGGGCUAGCGUUGCUCGGAAUGACUGGGCGUAAAGGGCGCGUAGGCGGCGCGUACAGUCAGAAGUGAAAUUCCUGGGCUCAACCUGGGGACUGCUUUUGGUACGUGCGUGCUUGAGUGAGGAAGAGGGUUGUGGAAUUUCCAGUGUAGAGGUGAAAUUCGUAGAUAUUGGAAAGAACACCGGUGGCGAAGGCGGCAACCUGGUCCUUUACUGACGCUGAGGCGCGAAAGCGUGGGGAGCAAACAGGAUUAGAUACCCUGGUAGUCCACGCUGUAAACGAUGUGUGCUGGAUGUUGGGAAACUUAGUUUUUCAGUGUCGUAGCUAACGCGAUAAGCACACCGCCUGGGGAGUACGGCCGCAAGGUUGAACUCAAGGAAUUGACGGGGCCCGCACAGCGGUGGAGCAUGUGNUUAAU
rnacentral:rRNA from 1 species